CAAAACUGUCUUUGUGUCCGUGGCGGACCUGAAGACGGUGGAAAACACGCACUGGACUGGUAAUUCAUCGUGAAAUUACCCGAUUAUGUGAGAUUUUAAGGUAACACUAAUGACAAGACCGUGGCAGUGAAAGGGUUAAGCUCACCUGUCAAGACACCCAUACAGAUCCAGGUGGGGUGGGGCGCCCUCUGCGGAAAGGUGAGUACG